AUUGAACGCUGGCGGCAUGCCUUACACAUGCAAGUCGAACGGUAACAGGUCUUCGGAUGCUGACGAGUGGCGAACGGGUGAGUAAUACAUCGGAACGUGCCCGAGAGUGGGGGAUAACGAGGCGAAAGCUUUGCUAAUACCGCAUACGAUCUCAGGAUGAAAGCAGGGGACCGCAAGGCCUUGCGCUCACGGAGCGGCCGAUGGCAGAUUAGGUAGUUGGUGGGAUAAAAGCUUACCAAGCCGACGAUCUGUAGCUGGUCUGAGAGGACGACCAGCCACACUGGGACUGAGACACGGCCCAGACUCCUACGGGAGGCAGCAGUGGGGAAUUUUGGACAAUGGGCGCAAGCCUGAUCCAGCCAUGCCGCGUGCAGGAUGAAGGCCUUCGGGUUGUAAACUGCUUUUGUACGGAACGAAAAGACUCUGGUUAAUACCUGGGGUCCAUGACGGUACCGUAAGAAUAAGCACCGGCUAACUACGUGCCAGCAGCCGCGGUAA
rnacentral:rRNA from 1 species